UGCAGUCGAGCGAACGGACGAGAGUGCUUGCACUUCUCUGAUGUUAGCGGCGGACGGGUGAGUAACACGUGGGUAACCUACCUAUAAGACUGGGAUAACUUCGGGAAACCGGAGCUAAUACCGGAUAAUAUUUAGCUUCGCAUGAAGCAAUAGUGAAAGACGGUUCUGCUGUCACUUAUAGAUGGACCCGCGGUGUAUUAGCUAGUUGGUGAGGUAACGGCUCACCAAGGCAACGAUACAUAGCCGACCUGAGAGGGUGAUCGGCCACACUGGGACUGAGACACGGCCCAGACUCCUACGGGAGGCAGCAGUAGGGAAUCUUCCGCAAUGGACGAAAGUCUGACGGAGCAACGCCGCGUGAGUGAAGAAGGUUUUCGGAUCGUAAAACUCUGUUGUAAGGGAAGAACAAGUACGUUAGUAACUGAACGUACCUUGACGGUACCUUACCAGAAAGCCACGGCUAACUACGUGCCAGCAGCCGCGGUAAUACGUAGGUGGCAAGCGUUAUCCGGAAUUAUUGGGCGUAAAGCGCGCGUAGGCGGUCUCUUAAGUCUGAUGUGAAAGCCCCCGGCUCAACCGGGGAGGGUCAUUGGAAACUGGGAGACUUGAGUGCAGAAGAGGAGAGUGGAAUUCCAUGUGUAGCGGUGAAAUGCGCAGAGAUAUGGAGGAACACCAGUGGCGAAGGCGGCUCUCUGGUCUGUAACUGACGCUGAG
rnacentral:rRNA from 1 species